rnacentral:rRNA from 1 species
UACGUAGGGGGCAAGCGUUGUCCGGAAUCAUUGGGCGUAAAGCGCGUGUAGGCGGCUCGGUAAGUCCGCUCUGAAAGCCCGGGGCUCAACCCCGGGAGGCGGGUGGAUACUGCUGAGCUCGAGUCCGGAAGAGGCGAGUGGAAUUCCUGGUGUAGCGGUGAAAUGCGCAGAUAUCAGGAGGAACACCGGAUGGCGAAGGCAGCUCGCUGGGACGGUACUGACGCUGAGACGCGAAAGCGUGGGGAGCAAACAGG